rnacentral:rRNA from 1 species
AUUGAACGCUGGCGGCAUGCUUUACACAUGCAAGUCGAACGGCAGCGCGGGCUUCGGCCUGGCGGCGAGUGGCGAACGGGUGAGUAAUGCAUUGGAACGUGCCCAGUAGUGGGGGAUAGCCCGGCGAAAGCCGGAUUAAUACCGCAUACGACCUGAGGGUGCAAGCGGGGGACCGAAAGGCCUCGCGCUAUUGGAGCGGCCGAGGUCGGAUUAGCUCGUUGGUGGGGUAAAGGCGUACCAAGGCGACGAUCCGUAGCUGGUCUGAGAGGACGACCAGCCACACUGGGACUGGGACACGGCCCAGACUCCUACGGGAGGCAGCAGUGGGGAAUUUUGGACAAUGGGGGCAACCCUGAUCCAGGCAUGCCGCGUGCGAGAAGAAGGCCUUCGGGUUGUAAACCGCUUUUGUUCGGGAAGAAAUCCUCUGGGCUAAUACCCCGGGGGGAUGACGGUACCGGAAGAAUAAGCACCGGCUAACUACGUG